GAUCAGCCUGGCACCACAACGGAGAGAAACCUCUGGGGGUUCAGCACACCUUGGGGGUAAAUGUGGCAGCAAUGAGGGAAACGCACCUUCCCAGGCAUGAACAGGGACCAAGAGGACAUGUUGGGGCAUCUGUCAGGAUUCCUGCUCUGGAAAAGAAGAUCAGAGCAAACGGGGACUGAGGAGAAUAAAAGCUGACCCAAACCUUUGACCCAAAGUUAACAUAAAGCCAAAUGAAGCCUUAGAGAGCUCCUCCAAAGUCUUCUCCAGCAUCAUACCUGGGUUGCCUGGUCUCUGCCAGCAGCACACGUUCUGUCUCUCCUGGAGCACCUGAAAAUAGUGACAGCAUCUCCUUGCUGGGGGACGUCAUGGUGAGAUGCUGAGAGGUUCGCUGCUUUCACAACUUUAGCUGGCUUGUCUUUGGAUGCUUGGUUAGUUCCAGCCAUGCACUAAGCACUGCUCAGCUCCUAAAAGGAAACACAGAACUUGACCCAAGGUGCUGGUUGAGGUCUGCA